UUCCUUCGGGAUGGCGAACGUGCGGAGGGAUCAUUACAGAGUUGCAAAACUCCCACAAACCAUCGCGAAUCUUACCCGUACGGUUGCCUCGGCGGGGGCGGUCCGGAAAGGCCCUGGGGCCCGCCCGGAUCCUGGGGUCUCCCGCUCGCGGGAGGCUGCCCGCCGGAGUGCCGAAACCAAACUCUUGAUAUUUUAUGUCUCUAGGAGUAAACUUUUAAAUAAGUCAAAACUUUCAACAACGGAUCUCUUGGUUCAGGCAUCGAUGAAGAACGCAGCGAAAUGCGAUAAGUAAUGUGAAUUGCAGAAUUCAGUGAAUCAUGGAAUCUUUGAACGCACAUUGCGCUCGCCAGUAUUCUGGCGAGCAUGCCUGUUCGAGCGUCAUUUCAACCAUCAAGCUCUGCGUGCGUUGGGGAUCCGCGGCUGCCGCGGUCCCUCAAAAACAGUGGCGGGCUCGCUAGUCACCACGAGCGUAGUAACUCUACAUCGGUACGGUCGUGCGGCGGGUUCUCCCGUAAAACCCCCCAAUUCUAAGGUGACCUCGGAUCAGGUAGAAGCCCCAUCC
rnacentral:rRNA from 1 species